rnacentral:rRNA from 1 species
AGAACGAACGCUGGCGGCAUGCCUAACACAUGCAAGUCGAACGCGUGUAGCGAUACACGAGUGGCGGACGGGUGAGUAACGCGUGGGAACCUGCCCUGGAGUGUGGGAUAACCGAGGGAAACUUCGGCUAAUACCGCAUACGACCUGAGGGUGAAAGAUUUAUCGCUCUAGGAGGGGCCCGCGUCGGAUUAGCUAGUUGGUGGGGUAAAGGCCUACCAAGGCAGUGAUCCGUAGCUGGUCUGAGAGGAUGAUCAGCCACACUGGGACUGAGACACGGCCCAGACUCCUACGGGAGGCAGCAGUGGGAAUAUUGGACAAGUGGGGGCAACCCUGAUCCAGCAAUGCCGCGUGAGUGAUGAAGGCCUUAGGGUUGUAAAGCUCUUUCGCGCGCGACGAUGAUGACGGUAGCGCGAGAAGAACGCCCCGGCUAACUCGUGCCAGCAGCCGAC